GGGGCGUAGCUCAGAUGGUAGAGCGCUCGUUCAGAAUGCGAGAGGUACGGGGAUUGAUACUCCGCGCCUCCA
rnacentral:tRNA from 1 species